rnacentral:rRNA from 1 species
GCAUAUCAAUAAGCGGAGGAAAAGAAACCAACAGGGAUUGCCCCAGUAACGGCGAGUGAAGCGGCAACAGCUCAAAUUUGAAAUCUGGCUCUCGGGCCCGAGUUGUAAUUUGUAGAGGAUGCUUUUGGUGAGGUGCCUUCCGAGUUCCCUGGAACGGGACGCCAUAGAGGGUGAGAGCCCCGUCUGGUUGGACGCCGAACCUCUGUAAAGCUCCUUCGACGAGUCGAGUAGUUUGGGAAUGCUGCUCUAAAUGGGAGGUAUAUGUCUUCUAAAGCUAAAUACCGGCCAGAGACCGAUAGCGCACAAGUAGAGUGAUCGAAAGAUGAAAAGAACUUUGAAAAGAGAGUUAAACAGUACGUGAAAUUGUUGAAAGGGAAGCGCUUGUGACCAGACUUGGGCUUGGUUGAUCAUCCGGGGUUCUCCCCGGUGCACUCUUCCGGCCCAGGCCAGCAUCAGUUCGCCCUGGGGGACAAAGGCAUCGGGAACGUGGCUCUCUCCGGGGAGUGUUAUAGCCCGUUGCGUAAUACCCUGCGGCGGACUGAGGUUCGCGCAUUCGCAAGGAUGCUGGCGUAAUGGUCAUCAGUGACCCGUCUUGAAACACGGACCAAGGAGUCGUCUUCGUAUGCGAGUGUUCGGGUGUCAAACCCCUACGCGAAAUGAAAGUGAACGCAGGUGAGAGCUUCGGCGCAUCAUCGACCGAUCCUGAUGUUAUCGGAUGGAUUUGAGUAAGAGCAUACGGGGCCGGACCCGAAAGAAGGUGAACUAUGCCUGUGUAGGGUGAAGCCAGAGGAAACUCUGGUGGAGGCUCGCAGCGGUUCUGACGUGCAAAUCGAUCGUCAAACAUGGGCAUGGGGGCGAAAGACUAAUCGAACCUUCUAGUAGCUGGUUUCGC